rnacentral:lncRNA from 1 species
UUACCAUAAAAAUUUACACAAGGCAGAUGAGGCACGCGAGAGGCUUGGGAGCUACUCGCCCUGUCCAGCUUCUUCCAUACUAUCCCUACAGGUUGGUGAUAGAUGGGGGAACCCCAGUGCCAAGCUUUGGGUUUCGAUGUCAACAAGAAAUGUUCCAGAGAAUGGAGGACACAUUCCGAUUCUGCGCUUACUGUAAAGCACUCCCCCAUGGCCUUUCCAGUUGCAAGGUUCUGCGGCACUGUAAGAGGUGAUGUGUGGGGACUAGUGGGGGACAUGUAGAAACGGCCCUAUGUAUACUAGGUCCUCAUUCCAAGAGGGACAGCCC